UUUGAUGGCGACCGGCGCACGGGUGAGUAACACGUAUCCAACCUGCCGAUGACUCGGGGAUAGCCUUUCGAAAGAAAGAUUAAUACCCGAUGGCAUAGUUCUUCCGCAUGGUAGAACUAUUAAAGAAUUUCGGUCAUCGAUGGGGACGCGUUCCAUUAGGUUGUUGGCGGGGUAACGGCCCACCAAGCCUUCGAUGGAUAGGGGUUCUGAGAGGAAGGUCCCCCACAUUGGAACUGAGACACGGUCCAA
rnacentral:rRNA from 1 species